AUGAGGAUUUGGCUCCGUUUCGUUUUCAUUGUAGCAGCUCUGGAAGGCGCGCGGUCCCAGGUGCAGCUGGUGGAGUCCGGAGGGGAUGUGAAAAAGCCCGGAGACUCUCUCCGCCUCUCCUGCAAAGCCUCUGGGUUCACCUUCGGUGACUACUGGAUGAGCUGGGUCCGGCAGGCUCCUGGCAAGGGCCUGGACUGGGUCGCAACUAUAAGCUACUGGGCCGGCAGCACUGUGCAUUACGCCAACGCGGUCAAAGGCCGAUUCACCAUCUCCAGAGACAACCCCAACAACCUGCUGUAUCUGCAAAUGACCGGCCUGAAGCCCGAGGACACCGCCCGCUAUUACUGUGCGAGAGACACAGGUUUUUCCCUACUCAAGCGGGGAUCCCGGUUUGAGUUCUGGGGUCAGAGCCUCACAGGUAUUAAUUCUGGAAGCUCCUUGGAUCCCAAGGCUGCUACCCCGACUGACUAUAGCUGGUGUUCUGGCCCAUUCAUUCAAACAGAUUAA